AUGUGGAGCUCAUUGUUGCCCUUGGAUGAAUAUAUCAGUUCGCAUCGUCUAUGUGCAUCCACAUCACGUAUUUGCCGGUCCGGUUGUUAUAGACCACCUUGGGUCUCUCCAAGACAUUGGAUUUGUGGAGGUCAUGUGACAAAUUAUUUUCCUCGCCAUGGAGCACAACUCCUUCGUUUCUCCAAGACAACAGGUCAUUUGAAGAAUAGCAACUUACUCCAACAAUGUCAACCUCAAAAGUGGUUUGUCUUGGUUAGAAUGACAAAUUGGAAAAUCCUACAGAAAAUAAGUGUUGUAUAUAAGAUGAAAAUUGCAAAUUACUACUUGGUAAGUUCAACUAUUGAAUAUCAAUAA
rnacentral:rRNA from 1 species